rnacentral:rRNA from 5 species
CAAAUGACUCUCGGCAACGGAUAUCUCGGCUCACGCAUCGAUGAAGAACGUAGCAAAAUGCGAUACUUGGUGUGAAUUGCAGAAUCCCGUGAACCAUCGAGUUUUUGAACGCAAGUUGCGCCCGAAGCCAUCCGGUUGAGGGCACGCCUGCCUGGGCGUCACGC